CCUACGGGAGACAGCAGUGAGGAAUAUUGGUCAAUGGCCGUAAGGCUGAACCAGCCAAGUAGCGUGAGGGCAGACUGCCCUAUGGGUUGUAAACCUCUUUUAUGCGGGGAUAAAGGUGUCCACGUGUGGAUGUUUGCAGGUACCGCAUGAAUAAGGACCGGCUAAUUCCGUGCCAGCAGCCGCGGUAAUACGGAAGGUCCGGGCGUUAUCCGGAUUUAUUGGGUUUAAAGGGAGCGUAGGCCGGUCUUUAAGCGUGCCGGGAAAUUUUGUGGCCCAACCAUGAGAGUGCGGCGCGAACUGGAGACCUUGAGUGCGCGGAAGGCAGGCGGAAUUCGUGGUGUAGCGGUGAAAUGCUUAGAUAUCACGAAGAACCCCGAUUGCGAAGGCAGCCUGCCGCAGCGUUACUGACGCUGAAGCUCGAAAGCGCGGGUAUCGAACAGGAUUAGAUACCCCGGUAGUC
rnacentral:rRNA from 1 species